AGGUCACUGGAAGGACUGAGCGCAUUCAGGAGCCUGGAGGAACUCAUCUUGGACAACAAUCAGCUGGGGGACGACCUUGUGUUGCCAGGGUUACCCAGACUGCAUACCUUAACCCUCAACAAGAACCGAAUCACUGAUUUGGAGAACCUGCUGGAUCACUUGGCAGAAGUGACACCAGCUCUGGAGUACCUCAGUCUGCUGGGCAACGUGGCCUGUCCCAACGAGCUGGUCAGCUUGGAAAAGGAUGAGGAAGACUACAAGAGAUACAGAUGCUUUGUUCUGUACAAGCUGCCCAACUUGAAAUUUCUGGAUGCCCAGAAAGUAACCAGACAAGAACGAGAGGAGGCGUUGGUCAGAGGAGUCUUCAUGAAGGUGGUGAAGCCCAAGGUGAGC
rnacentral:lncRNA from 1 species